GAUGAACGCUGGCGGCGUGCCUAAUACAUGCAAGUAGAACGCUGAAGCUUGGUGCUUGCACCGAGCGGAUGAGUUGCGAACGGGUGAGUAACGCGUAGGUAACCUGCCUCUUAGCGGGGGAUAACUAUUGGAAACGAUAGCUAAUACCGCAUAAAAGUCGAUAUCGCAUGAUAUUGAUUUGAAAGGUGCAAAUGCAUCACUAAGAGAUGGACCUGCGUUGUAUUAGCUAGUUGGUGAGGUAACGGCUCACCAAGGCGACGAUACAUAGCCGACCUGAGAGGGUGGUCGGCCCAACUGGGACUGGGACACGGCCCAGACUCCUACGGGGGGCAGCAGUAGGGAAUCUUCGGCAAUGGGGGCAACCCUGACCGAGCAACGCCGCGUGAGUGAAGAAGGGUUUCGGAUCGUAAAGCUCUGUUGUAAGAGAAGAACGAGUGUGAGAGUGGAAAGUUCACACUGUGACGGUAACUUACCAGAAAGGGACGGCUAACUACGUG
rnacentral:rRNA from 1 species